CCAUUACACAUUUGUACCUGAAUUAAUUUUAAGCCUGUUCAAUAAACAUUCUUGCUUCUUGGUUAACUUAUACCAGCCUCAGUGUGUGUACCUUCGUAGUCAAAGUAUUCUUAAAGUCAGUUUCUGCUGUCACCUUGUUUUGUAGUUCUGAUGGUGCCAAUAGCGUAAAGAGACUGAAGCUGGAUCCAGAUCCGGACCACGACAAGGCAACAGAAACCCCGCCUUGCAUUCCUCUGGGCGGCAGCUCUAUGAGUGGCUCCACACUCCACUGCCCCUCGGCGGCCGUCUGCAUCGGGAUCCUGCCCGGCCUGGGCGCCUACUCUGGGAGUAGCGACUCCGAGUCCAGCUCCGACAGCGAGGGCACCAUCAACUCCACUGGAAAAAUCGUCUCCUCCGUCUUCCGCGGCAGCAACUUCUUUGACACCCCGCUGUAGGACUCUCUCCACCUCUUCGGAGCUUGGUUGGGACUUCUUUUAACAAGAAAUGUUUCCUUUGUCAUCCAGGUCCACCCUCCGCGCAGAUUGCUUCUCUCCUGUCCAUCCUUCCUUCCGAAUACCAAAAUAAUGUACGCAAAGCUGU